rnacentral:rRNA from 1 species
GACGAACGCUGGCGGCGUGCUUAACACAUGCAAGUCGAACGGAAAGGCCCUGCUUUUGUGGGGUGCUCGAGUGGCGAACGGGUGAGUAACACGUGAGUAACCUGCCCUUGACUUUGGGAUAACUUCAGGAAACUGGGGCUAAUACCGGAUAGGAGCUCCUGCUGCAUGGGGGGGGGUGGAAAGUUUCGGCGGUUGGGGAUGGACUCGCGGCUUAUCAGCUUGUUGGUGGGGUAGUGGCUUACCAAGGCUUUGCCGGGUAGCCGGCCUGAGAGGGUGACCGGCCACAUUGGGACUGAGAUACGGACCAGACUCCUACGGGAGGCAGCAGUGGGGAAUAUUGCACAAUGGGCGGAAGCCUGAUGCAGCAACGCCGCGUGCGGGAUGACGGCCUUCGGGUUGUAAACCGCUUUCGCCUGUGACGAAGCGUGAGUGACGGUAAUGGGUAAAGAAGCACCGGCUAACUACGUG